rnacentral:misc_RNA from 1 species
UCCGAGUUGACCCCGGCAGUCUCCCGCAAGUCCCCAACCCGCCGAAACGGUUGCUGGCAAUACAGGACGAGGGUUGCGCUCGUUGCGGGACUUAACCCAACAUCUCACGACACGAGCUGACGACAACCAUGCACCACCUGUGCACGACCCCAAAGGAAGCACCGUCUCCGGCGCGGCACCGUGCAUGUCAAGCCCUGGUAAGGUUCUUCGCGUUGCAUCGAAUUAAGCCGCAUGCUCCGCCGCUUGUGCGGGCCCCCGUCAAUUCCUUUGAGUUUUAGCCUUGCGGCCGUACUCCCCAGGCGGGGCGCUUAAUGCGUUAGCUCCGGCACGGAACCCGUGGAAACAGGCCCCACACCUAGCGCCCAACGUUUACAGCGUGGACUAC